rnacentral:rRNA from 1 species
UACAGAGGGGGCUAGCGUUGUUCGGAAUCACUGGGCGUAAAGCGCACGUAGGCGGAUUGUUAAGUCGGGGGUGAAAUCCUGAGGCUCAACCUCAGAACUGCCUUCGAUACUGGCAAUCUCGAGUCCGGAAGAGGUUGGUGGAACAGCUAGUGUAGAGGUGAAAUUCGUAGAUAUUAGCCAGAACACCAGUGGCGAAGGCGGCCAACUGGUGCCGGUACUGACGCUGAGGUG